GAAGGAGAGCACUACCUGGAAUGGAAUCCAGGGGCAAGCACAGGAGGGGUACGGCUGGAAAAACCGCCGUGCAACCCAAAGGUGUGACGCAUACCGAACUAAAGUAGGGAAAUGUGUGAGCCGGCUGCCGAGAAAAGCCGCUAUUGUUUGUACUGUACCCGUACCGUAAACCGACACAGGUGGAUGAGGAGAGAAUCCUAAGGCCGACGGAAGAAGCAUUGCUAAGGAACUCGGCAAAAUGACCCUGUAACUUCGGGAGAAAGGGUGCCUCGAAAGAGGCCGCAGAGAAUAGGCCCAAGCAACUGUUUAGCAAAAACACAGGUCUAUGCAAAACCGCAAGGUGAAGUAUAUGGGCUGACGCCUGCCCGGUGCUGGAAGGUUAAGGGGAGAUGUCAGGAGACGAAGCAUCGAACUUAAGCCCCAGUAAACGGCGGCCGUAACGAUAACGGUCCUAAGGUAGCGAAAUUCCUUGUCGGGUAAGUUCCGACCCGCACGAAAGGCGUAAUGAUUUGGGCGCUGUCUCGGCAAUGCAUCCGGUGAAAUUGAAGUGCCAGUGAAGAUGCUGGCUACCCGCGCCAGGACGGAAAGACCCCAUGGAGCUUUACUCCAGCUUGAUACUGGGAUUCGGUAUUGUAUGUACAGGAUAGGUGGGAGGCUGAGAAAUGGUGACGCCAGUCGCCAUGGAGCCGCUGUUGGGAUACCACCCUUGCAGUACUGGAUUUCUAACCAGCAGCCGUGAUCCGGCUGGGGGACAAUGUCAGGUGGGGAGUUUGACUGGGGCGGUCGCCUCCGAAAGGGUAUCGGAGGCGCUCAAAGGUUCCCUCAGAAUGGUCGGAAACCAUUCGAAGAGUGCAAAGGCAGAAGGGAGCUUGACUGCGACACCGACGGGUGGGGCAGGUACGAAAGUAGGACUUAGUGAUCCGGUGGUAUUAAGUGGGAAUGCCAUCGCUCAACGGAUAAAAGCUACCCUGGGAUAACAGGCUUAUCACUCCCAAGAGUUCACAUCGACGGAGUGGUUUGGCACCUCAAUGUCGGCUCAUCGCAUCCUGGGGCUGUAGUAGGUCCCAAGGGUUGGGCUGUUCGCCCAUUAAAGCGGUACGCGAGCUGGGUUCAGAACGUCGUGAGACAGUUCGGUCCCUAUCCGGCGUGGGCGUAGGAUAUUUGAGAGGAGCUGACCUUAGUACGAGAGGACCGGGUUGGACUGACCUCUGGUGCACCGGUUGUCAUGCCAAUGGCACAGCCGGGUAGCCAAGUCGGGAAGGGAUAAACGCUGAAGGCAUCUAAGCGUGAAGCCCCCCUCAAGAUGAGAUAUCCCCCGCAUAAGCGGUAAGACCCCUUGAAGACGACGAGGUAGAUAGGGCAGAGGUGGAAGUGCAGUAAUGUAUGGAGCUGACUGCUACUAAUAGGUCGAAGGC
rnacentral:rRNA from 1 species